UACGUAGGGGGCGAGCGUUAUCCGGAUUUACUGGGCGUAAAGCGCGUUAGGGCGGUUGGCAAAGUUGGUUGUGAAAUCUCAGGGCUCAACCCUGAAAUUGCGACCAAUACUGGUCGACUAGAGUGUGAGAGAGGAAGGUGGAAUUCCCGGUGUAGUAGUGAAAUUCGUAGAUAUCGGGAGGAACACCAGUGGCGAAGGCGGCGACCUGGGCCAAUAUUGACGCUGAGGUGCGAAAGCGUGGGGAGCAAACAGG
rnacentral:rRNA from 1 species